rnacentral:rRNA from 1 species
UACAGAGGGGGCCAGCGUUAUUCGGAAUUAUUGGGCGUAAAGGGCGCGUAGGCGUCUUUGCGUGUCUUUCGUGAAAUCCCUCGGCUCAACUGAGGACGUGCGGAAGAAACUGCAGGGCUGGAGUCCGGGAGAGGAGGGUGGAAUUCCCAGUGUAGCGGUGAAAUGCGCAGAUAUCAGGAGGAACACCGGUGGCGAAGGCGGGUCUCUGGGCCGAUACUGACGCUGAGGAGCGAAAGCGUGGGGAGCGAACAGG